AACGAACGCUGGCGGCGUGGAUAAGACAUGCAAGUCGAACGCUUGUACCGGGGUAGCAAUAUUUCGGUGCAGGAGUGGCGCAAGGGUGCGUAACACGUGGGUCAUUUGCCGUGAAGCUGGGAACAACUCGUUGAAAGACGAGCUAAUACCCAAUGUGCUCCGCAAGGAGUAAAGCCGGGGACCGCAAGGCCUGGCACUUUACGAUAAGCCCGCGGCCUAUCAGCUAGUUGGCGGGGUAAAAGCCCACCAAGGCUAAGACGGGUAGCUGGUCUGAGAGGACGACCGGCCACACUGGAACUGAGACACGGUCCAGACACCUACGGGUGGCAGCAGUCGAGAAUUUUUCACAAUGGGCGAAAGCCUGAUGGAGCGAAGCCGCGUGGGGGAUGAAGGGCUUCGGCUCGCAAACCCCUGUCAUUCGCGAACAAAGGUGCCGGCCUAACAUGCCGUCGCCUGAUAGUAGCGGAAGAGGAAGGGACGGCUAACUCUGUGCCAGCCGCCGCUGUAAAAC
rnacentral:rRNA from 1 species